UGUUUAAUCCGCCAUUUUUAAAAUUCACUUUCGUCUAGUCGUACGAUUUAAUUCGUUUUUGAAAUGCUCGUCAUCAACAAUCAGGUGCUACAAACCCUCUGGCCUGAGCUCCGCAAUUGCAACUGAAGAAUCCUGUAUGAUUUUGGAUGACACAACCUUGUCCGCAAUUGCAUUUGAAGAUUCUCGUUUGAUUUCCAAGAAGAAGGCUUUCAGUUGUCCAGGCCAGGCCAGGUGACCAAUGACAAUGAUAGAUCGGGUUCGAUUCAAGCUAUAUACGCUUGGUGUAUUUGGUUAUCGUGACUGGCGACUUGAGUCUAUCUCAUCUCAUGUCCAAGGCGCGGUGGCUGGGUCCCAGGCAUGCUUGCCACUUUGUUCUGCGGUCCUCAUCUAAGUUUCGACGGUGAUGACAUGGACUAAGGUUCAGGGUACGUGUUCCCCUUGAGUCAUUGUGGUUGAUUGAUAGGGGAAAUAAGAGUUGCGUGUUGCUAGUCAUUCAAUUGGUCCCCUUGUUUUAGAGUGUUGGCGGGAUAAGUCUUACGACUGUUAACAAUAGUAAGCAAUAGCUGGCCAGCGAUCCCCUACCUGAUCUCGAGGGGGAUGGAAUGACUGGGGUCGAGACCUGUUGUUAGCCUGCGGAAUUUCGUCGGACGAAAUGUCAGGCGUGUCCGUGUGGUACUAAUGUGCUAAACAAGUUUAGUGCUAUUGACGAAGACAUUGGGCUCUUUGGAUAACAACAGUGUUCUUGACCUCCUUGUGCUCCACAAAGCUUAUAUAUACCCGCUGAAAUCGACAAGACGGCGAUGAAGAAGGAGAGCCGGCCUCCAACUCGUCAGCCGAGAAGACACUGGAUGGACCCGAAGAAGAUGUUGCUACCAAUGUUGGAGCCAUAAAGGGCAGCCCGAGCCAACAUUGUACAAGGGCCACAAGGACAAGGGACACAAGGACAAGGGAUACAAAAGAUGAUGUUGCAGACUGCAGACUGCUGCAGAUUGAGAUGAUGGCUGUCGAGAAGACCCAACCACUCAACCAAGAUCUACAAUUCGUUCUAUGGUAGAUGUAACUCUCAAAGUUUUUGGAUGACGAAGGAAUCCAACACAUGUCGCUCACCGAUACGGGCAGACAACUGAGAGUCGAGUGGAUUCAGUGGAUCGAAUGGUUGCGCUGAGGGAUGUCCAUGCACAGGAGUGACGAACCACAGUUCAGCAAACGAUGCCUUGACAGACCAAUUCAAGGAGAACCUUCUCUAAGAUCAGGAAGGGAACGUGUUUGCUGUGUGGAUGGAUUGAACACUUAAAUGUCCGUCAUUCUAAUAGACGAUAAUGACAAUCUUCUAUAGACUAUAAUGACAAUCGAACUCCAAGGGACUCUCUGGACUUAGGGCUUAGAGCUACGGCCAUAGAGCCCUGACAUGAUAUCCUGCAGCCACCACGAGGACAGCCAUUCUCAAUGUCGUACAUUCAGAAGGAUGCCAUCACACGCAUGGUGAAACAUCCCACGGAAGGAAGGAGGUUGUUCCCCACGCCGUCAGUCAAUACGACGGUCAGAUUGUAUUUUGUCACCGUAGGCCUUAUCGUUUGAUCAAAAUAUCUGAUUGAAAGGUGAUUUAAUGAAAAUUCAAAUUUUUCUGAUGGUGAGAAUUUAUUCACCUUGCUUUCUACAAGGAUAGAUUCUUUUGAUCUAUGCUUGGUCAUGACCAUGAUUUAUGCCAUGGUUCAAAAUCUUUCACUUAUUAAAGGAAGAAAUUGAAAUAACCAUUAUGGGGGGUUGGGUUGUUUCUGACUGACAAGGGAGCCAAUGUGGCUCGCCUGAACCAAAACAAAAUAAUUUUCAAGGAAAAUUUUGUGCUUAAGAUAAAGAAGGAAGAACAAUUUAAGGUGGGUGGGUUGUUGGUUGCUACCAGAGGAGCCAACAGCCGCCUUGGACCCUGAAAUUCUUUUCAGGCAAAACUUAUCAUUCUGCUUAAAAAAUCACCGAAUUCAUCAGAUAUUCAUUUGAUUAUAUCCAUCCCUUUAGACAUGGGGUCCAUGUGUUGUUGUUUCGCUGACCCCACGAAACAAGAACACAUGUGUCUGAUGGAACCGUAGGCUUUUCAUUCCGUUUCUCGAUCUCAUCAGUAUCAUAGAAUUAACUGACAUGGCCUGGGCUCCGAUGCCCUGGACCGUUUGUCACACUGGCUGGCUCAGUUGCUCAGUACGUGAAUGCCUUCAUGCUGGAGACAACUGACCAAUCGCCCAGUGAUAUGUUGAAAUUGAAUUUUCCUACCUGGGCAAGGCCCGGUGCCAAAAAAUCUUAAAAUACCAAAACAUCUUUACAAUUGAACUAAAACAGUUGGUUGAAAUAUCACUGUUUUGGUGAAAAUGAACCUUGCCAGAAUAUCAAGUUUGAAUUUUUGAUAUUCUUAUGAAAAGUUUUAAAGACUGGUCCUUCCCUAGCCUUUGUCGUCAGUGUGUGUUCUCAGCACCAGCAUUCGACAAUGGUGGCAUGCAUGCAUGUUUUGUAACCAUGGUUACGACUGACCUUUUGAUAUUCUUUUGAAAACUUUUGAAAAAUUUGACAAACAAGACUGAUCUUACCCUAGUGGUCAAAACAGUUCAGUCUUUUAAAAAUUUC